rnacentral:lncRNA from 1 species
UACCGGUACAAGCCCUGCGUAACCGAGAGAAUGAGCUCUCGGGUUUGAGCUGUCUGCCAGGCCUUGUACCGGUACAAGACCCCGUGUACCGGUACAAGGAGCCCGAAAACAGCAGGUCAAGUUGGAAGAACUUGAAAACUUGAGGGGCUAAGUGGCAUAUUGUUACAACACAUGUGAGAGGGUAUUAGAGAGUGUUUUUAUCUCUCUCUCUCUCACUCUCCCACAGCCCCCUCCCUCUCCCUCUGUUCGUGCCCAACCGAAGGGAGAAGAAAAAGGAAAGAAAGGAAAAGAGAAAAGGAAAAGAAGAAGAAAAAGAGAAAGCAAAGGAAAAGAAGAGAAAGAUCUUCAUCUCCAUCCUCAUCUUCAUCUUCUUCUCAUUUUGAAGCUUUUGAAGAGGUAAGCACCUUGCUCCUCUCAUGGUGGAUUUUGGUAGGAUGGGUUUUAAACCCUAAAGCUUAGAGAUUUAGAGCUCCUAAGGUAUUUAGAACCUUGUAGAGGCUUAGAACACCAUGAAAUCCAUGGUUUUCUCAUGAAGCUCUAAUGGUGGAUUUUUAGGGUUUGCUCUAAAUGCCCUAGAAAUGGUUCAUAUGCUCCUAGAUGAACUCCUAGAUGAUAAACAAGCUUUCCUUUGCUUGUUUUAUAGAUCAAAACCGGCGUAUUGGGCAUAUGGCACAUUAGGGCAUCCCAAAGAGGGAUUUUGCUAAUGAGGGGUUUUGAUCUAUUUUGACCACUCGUAAACCUAAUUGUUAGGUCAAGAAACGCGUGGGCGAAGACGGUUUGAGUAUUCGUCGAGCCGUUUUAAAGUUAUUAAAGAAAUAAGCCUUGAGGCUUCAUUCUUGCCUGUAGGGCCGAGACGGCGUCGUAAGGUCGUGGGAAUGGACGUGUGGCAUCGUGGCGCAUAACCGAAGACCUAUAAUUUUCGGAUUUGCAAAGCGGAACACGGUUGAGGCGCAAGUGCUAGUCGGGCCCAAGCGGGUGCCGAGUGCCGCGGGAGGCCGAUUGCAAGUGUCGACAAGCAAUCGGAACGCAUUAAAGGUGGGUUGUGUUUACCGAAGCGACUAGGUCGCCCUUAUGUCUAAAUGAUGUUAACAAUCUUCAUUGAUGCAUACAAGUGUAAAUGACGGCAUAUGUAAAAAUGCUAAGUAAUGCAUGACACUAGUGAUAAGAUGUAUAUGCAUGUAAAAGACUAGGUAUGCACGUGUACUAGAUGAAUGCAAGUGAACAGAGCAUGAUGAAUGCAUUGAUUAAUGCUAGAGUAUACACAAUAAGCAUGAUGUAGAAAUAAUAAAUGCAAGCAUGUGGUUAAUGCUAAGAGUAAA